AGUCUGGAAGACGGCUUCUGAAAUUCAGUUUGCUAUAAAAACUCUUCCGAUAAAGAACCAGUGCCACACCGAGCUCUGAGCAGAUGGAGGUGAAUGCGGUUAAAAAACGCCAUCGCACACGAUCCAAAGGAGUCAGAGCCGCCGUGGAGGCAGUGACACAGGAGUUAUUCAG